UACGUAGGGUGCAAGCGUUGUCCGGAAUUACUGGGCGUAAAGGGCGCGUAGGCGGACAGUUUAGUCAGAGGUGAAAGCCCAGGGCUCAACCCUGGAAUUGCCUUUGAUACUGACUGUCUUGAGUACGGGAGAGGUGUGUGGAACUCCGAGUGUAGAGGUGAAAUUCGUAGAUAUUCGGAAGAACACCAGUGGCGAAGGCGACACACUGGCCCGUUACUGACGCUGAGGCGCGAAAGCCAGGGGAGCAAACGGG
rnacentral:rRNA from 1 species